UUGUAGCAUAUUGUGUAGCACAAUAUUCAAAAUUCAAAGGAUCGUAUCUCCCAGUGAAAAGUGAAACGACUUGACGGAGAGUUAACAUAAGCCGACAGUUACUUUCAGUUUUAAUUUAAUGCCAUGUGCAACUCGUGGGCGUGACAUUGCCCAUAUGCCAUGAGCAUAAUCGUACAAAAUAUCCUCGAUACUCUACAUAACAUAUCUGUAGUAUGAAUUGAUGAAACUAAAUAAAAUGAAGAGACAUAUCGUUUAAUAUCAACUUAUGUACCAGAGACUUCUUUUGCCAUUUACCAUUACUGCAUUGCUGGGUAUGAAUAUGAGUAUGGG